rnacentral:hammerhead_ribozyme from 1 species
ACCCAGACGACGAGUCCCAAAUAGGACGAAACGCGAGUCCUGGAU